CCCUAUUAUUUUAAAAUGUUAAUUUUUGUGCCUGAGUAGUAUUAGUUAUGUUCUUGAAACUUAAAGAAUUUGGCGGUAUCUCAUUCCGUCCAGAGGAAUCUGUCCCGUUAUCGAUAGUCCACGUUGGACCUUACUUAUUUGAUUUUGGUUUGUAUACCGCCGUUUAUUGAUUAUCUUUUUAGAGGUUACUUAAUUUUCUGGUUUCUUUAUUUUGAUGUAUUUCAGGUCAAGGUGCAGCUUGUUUUUAAGUGGAAUGAUGGAUUACAUUGUUAUUUGUUUAUGGAUUGUUGAUUUUAAUAUUGGCAUGAAAUUGGAUUUGGUUGUAAUAAUUUGUAGAUUGUUAUUAUGAUAAUUGGUUCUGAGAUAUGCACACAUCGCCCGUCGCUCUCGUUUGUUUAUUAUAAUGAGAUAAGUC
rnacentral:rRNA from 1 species